rnacentral:lncRNA from 1 species
ACAAAAUUUACUUUUACAUGUCACGGUUCUAUACUGAUCUUAUAUUCUCUGGAGCAGUUACCAUGUAGGCUAAUUGCGUAUAAGUAUUUCAGAUGCAUAAUACGUGUCUUUAUCUCCUGGAAGGAAGAAAAAAAUGAGCAAAUUGCCUCUAUGACCCUAUUUACUGUCACCUCUCCCCCACCAGAGCAAAGUGACUACUGUGUGUCUGCUCAGAUGAAUUCACAUUCGAAAUGGCCUGCCCCAAAGAGAGAAAAAGGGACCUCUGAACAAAGAGAUAAGUAAAAAAGCCCCUUAAGUCCUUAAGAAUUUCAUGGGGAAAAAUCACAAACAGAAGGAGAUUAAAAGCAAGAAGAAAUAUUUGUUUUAGAAAAAUGGUGAUUUUUCACUCUGAAGAGAACUGGAAGAAGGACAUGGCUUACAGUCGAUGAGGUACUGCUAAAAAUGACAGUGAAGACAGAGUGAUUCAUUCACCUCUUAUUUUACUCACAUUUUAUCUAUCAAGGAGAAUGAUCUCCAAACUGUAAAGCAUAAAACAAAAUGCAUGAAGAACAGAUCAUGAAGGGAGAUAGAUGCUAGGAUCUUCAAAUGGCAUUUGAUGUCCUUAAAUGAACUUAAUCCUUAGUGUGGUUACUGGAUCUAUGGUAUGGAUUUUCCAUUUGCUAUUCCCGCAUACCUAAUAAUGUUACUUCAGUAUCUAAUAACAUUUCUGUAAUUCUGAUCUGGAAUUUUAUACCAGUGAAGUUUGAUAUGAGUCAAAACUUGAUAGAGUCGGAAUUGUUGAUCUUAUGACUAUUCCCUGACUGUCCUUCUUGACACGUCAAAGUUUUUCAUAUUUCUGCUCUGCACCACUGGUAGCAAACCCUUGAGCUUCAAUCUGAAGAGUGUCCAUUGUUUAGCUUGUGACUGGGACUGUCUGUUUAGGACACUCUAUUCAACUUGCUCUGUGGAAUCACUACAAUUGAUUUGUUCGCCUCAACCAUUUAGCAUGUGUCCUGCCAUGGAUGUGGCCCAUUUUUAAUGAUGAAGAGGCUUUGCUUCAACAGCCAGUUCAUAUAUGGAACCUAGACUGUGCUCGUUCAAAUGCCUAGAUCUUGGUUCAAGUACAUGCACUGUCAUCUUUGUUACAAUCUCUCAAGGAUUAUUUUUCCCAAGGAGGUCUUGGUAUGCAAGUAGCUCUCCAUUUUAUGGAAACAAAACCUGGAUAUACUUUGAGGUUAUUGGAUUUUAUACUGACUUAGAAAUUUUACAAGAACAAUCAUCUUGCAUUGUGUCUCAAUGUUCUGUUUUCCUACAUUUUCUUUUUAUUCUUCCUUUCCUCCCUUCCUUCCUUCUUCCCUUGCCUUCUCUUUCUUUCUCUCUCUCUCUCCAUCCUUUUUCCUUUCUUCUUUCUUUCCCUUUUUCUUUACUUCCUUUUCCCCCCUUCCUUUCUUCCCUUCUUCACAAGCAGGAUUGCCAGCAUGCUCUAUGACUCUCUUUUGAAAUGUCACUUCUCUCAUUCUUAGCCUGGUCACCGAUAGCAAUGAUGUCCAGUCUACCUUAAAGGCAAAAAGACAUUUGCAUGUGUUACUUAUGGAGAUCAGAGAAAGAACAUCAUUAUCCUCCACCAAAGCAUUACUCAUGUUAGUUUGUCAUAGAUCAUGAAAAU